CUCGGACGAACGCCGGCGGCGCGCCUAAACACGCAAGUCGAACGAGAGACGAGGAGCUUCGCUCUUCAAAUCGAGCGGCGAACGGGUGAGUAACGCGUGAGGAACCUGCCUCAAAGAGGGGGACAACAGUUGGAAACGACUGCUAAUACCGCAUAAGCCCACGGCUCGGCAUCGAGCAGAGGGAAAGGAGCAAUCCGCUUUGAGAUGGCCUCGCGUCCGAUUAGCUAGUUGGUGAGGUAACGGCCCACCAAGGCGACGAUCGGUAGCCGGACUGAGAGGUUGAACGGCCACAUUGGGACUGAGACACGGCCCAGUACUCCUACGGGAGGCAGCAGUGGGGAAUAUUGCACAAUGGGGGAAACCCUGAUGCAGCGACGCCGCGUGGAGGAAGAAGGUCUUCGGGAUUGUAAACUCCUGUUGUUGAGGAAGAUAAUGACGGUACUCAACAAGGAAGUGACGGCUAACUACGUGCCAGCAGCCGCGGUAAAACGUAGGUCACAAGCGUUGUCCGGAAUUACUGGGUGUAAAGGGAGCGCAGGCGGGAGAACAAGUUGGAAGUGAAAUCCAUGGGCUCAACCCAUGAACUGCUUUCAAAACUGUUUUUCUUGAGUAGUGCAGAGGUAGGCGGAAUUCCCGGUGUAGCGGUGGAAUGCGUAGAUAUCGGGAGGAACACCAGUGGCGAAGGCGGCCUACUGGGCACCAACUGACGCUGAGGCUCGAAAGUGUGGGUAGCAAACAGGAUUAGAUACCCUGGUAGUCCACACCGUAAACGAUGAUUACUAGGUGUUGGAGGAUUGACCCCUUCAGUGCCGCAGUUAACGCGAUAAGUAAUCCA
rnacentral:rRNA from 1 species